AACGCCACCUUGGGAUGCAGCGGAGUACAAUCAACUCAUUUCUUCAGGGCCAUUGCUGCCACUACUAGAGCACUACGCGGGCAUCGGUUCUUAUGACCAAACCACAAUCAGGGGGGCAGCAUGGCAAGUUUCGUCACAGGGCGCUAACGCUGACAAAUGUACGGGCAACCAACUUCAGCUAGCUAAUGUGGCAAAUCAAGGACCUUCAUGCAGCACGUGGCAUCAGGCAGCAACCAUGUACCUGCCAUCAACGUCGUACACAGGUGAGUGCAUGAAAGUGAAGUUGUGGACAGUGAGUUAGGAGAAAGGAACAUAUAUGACAGCUGCAGUUG